rnacentral:lncRNA from 10 species
AUGGCGGCGGCUGUGCCGGUGCUCCCAGUACGCCUCAGGAAUUCCGUGAAGCACCGCUGUGCGGGAGGUGGGGGCCGGCAAUACCACAAUACCACUGGCGGGGACAACUGAGAAGGCAAUGACCAGGAUAUCAAGGAUAACUGGGGCGACAGUGAUGAUGUGAAAAGAAAGAAAGAGAAGUAAAACUAGAAGUAAAGGUUUCAGAAAAGAUAGAUCGAUAAAUAAUCGAUCGAUAGAUAGAUAAUAGAUAGAUGAUAGGCAGGUAGAUAAAUAGAAGAACAUAAAGUGCUAACACCAAAGAACAAUUAGCAAACUCGACCGGGACUAAACUAAAGAAAUUCCAGGAAGAGUCAGACUUCAAACCAGCCAAAAAGACGUUUGGUGUUAAUACAGUUUAUGGAGCCAAGGCUCUGAACCCACUUUGGAGAGAUGGCUUCCUGGAUUUUGAAAAGUUACUAAAAAAUAAAAUUACACAAUAUGAAAAGUCACUGUAUUAUGCAAGUUUGGGGUAUCCUUAGAUGGAGAUGUGUGCCUUUUUUUAGAAGUUGAUGACUUGAAAAAGAUUACUGAUGCUCUGCAGUGACAAAAAGAAGCAAGAGAAGCAAAAACAGAAAAGUGUGGUUCCUGGAGGGGGAUUAAAGGAUUAAAGGCCACCGUUAAAGAC